rnacentral:rRNA from 1 species
UUGUGAGGUUAAGCGACUAAGCGUACACGGUGGAUGCCCUGGCAGUCAGAGGCGAUGAAGGACGUGCUAAUCUGCGAUAAGCGUCGGUGAGGUGAUAUGAACCGUUAUAACCGGCGAUUUCCGAAUGGGGAAACCCAGUGUGUUUCGACACACUAUCAUUAACUGAAUCCAUAGGUUAAUGAGGCGAACCGGGGGAACUGAAACAUCUAAGUACCCCGAGGAAAAGAAAUCAACCGAGAUUCCCCCAGUAGCGGCGAGCGAACGGGGAGGAGCCCAGAGCCUGAAUCAGUGUGUGUGUUAGUGGAAGCGUCUGGAAAGGCGCGCGAUACAGGGUGACAGCCCCGUACACAAAAAUGCACAUGCUGUGAGCUCGAUGAGUAGGGCGGGACACGUGGUAUCCUGUCUGAAUAUGGGGGGACCAUCCUCCAAGGCUAAAUACUCCUGACUGACCGAUAGUGAACCAGUACCGUGAGGGAAAGGCGAAAAGAACCCCGGCGAGGGGAGUGAAAAAGAACCUGAAACCGUGUACGUACAAGCAGUGGGAGCCUCUUAAUGGGGUGACUGCGUACCUUUUGUAUAAUGGGUCAGCGACUUAUAUUCUGUAGCAAGGUUAACCGAAUAGGGGAGCCGAAGGGAAACCGAGUCUUAACUGGGCGUUAAGUUGCAGGGUAUAGACCCGAAACCCGGUGAUCUAGCCAUGGGCAGGUUGAAGGUUGGGUAACACUAACUGGAGGACCGAACCGACUAAUGUUGAAAAAUUAGCGGAUGACUUGUGGCUGGGGGUGAAAGGCCAAUCAAACCGGGAGAUAGCUGGUUCUCCCCGAAAGCUAUUUAGGUAGCGCCUCGUGAAUUCAUCUCCGGGGGUAGAGCACUGUUUCGGCAAGGGGGUCAUCCCGACUUACCAACCCGAUGCAAACUGCGAAUACCGGAGAAUGUUAUCACGGGAGACACACGGCGGGUGCUAACGUCCGUCGUGAAGAGGGAAACAACCCAGACCGCCAGCUAAGGUCCCAAAGUCAUGGUUAAGUGGGAAACGAUGUGGGAAGGCCCAGACAGCCAGGAUGUUGGCUUAGAAGCAGCCAUCAUUUAAAGAAAGCGUAAUAGCUCACUGGUCGAGUCGGCCUGCGCGGAAGAUGUAACGGGGCUAAACCAUG